AACUCCUAUGGGAAGAAAGACCUUUGAGUGUAUAGGCGGCUCCACUGUCUCAGCCCCACCCACAACACCGCUACUUUGAAGAGGACAAUCUGUUAGCUUCAGGAUAAAUCGGAUUGUGUCGCCUGCUGAAGUGGACCGAGCAGAACCAUGACUUAAGGAGGAGACAGUCUCGUUUUUAUCCAGUGUUAAAAUAAGGUCCUGGUUCAUCCCCCUCUAAUCCUACCUCCAAAGCACUAUACCAGCAAAGCCUCAGUUGUCCAAUUAAAAAAAAAAAUCAAUUCAUGGUGAAAGGGAGAAUACACUGGAAGACAAGAGGAUGGCCAAUGAAACAGUGUGUGGAAACUUUUUCCUAAGCUUAUCAAUGUCACACAGGGAGGUCUCAGGACAGGGCUGUGAGGGUUGGGGGAGGUAAAGAAUGGAACUUCACAGUGGGAUAUUGCAUUGCACAGCCUCACCUUGGAGAAUAAGAAACUAUCUAAGGGAUAACUCAGAGACAAGAAGAGGCAGACUUGCUGAGCUGGAAAAAGUUUACAGGGAUUGGGGGCGCUUCAUUUUUUAUAAGUGUACAUGGUAAUCUCAGUUUGGGUCUAUUCCUUGCGUAAGUAUUACAGUUGGUUCAUCAGGUGAUAAAUGAAUAUUUCCCAGGCUGGUCCUGGCAUAGCCAGACUCUCAAAGGAUGGAUAAUUUGGUAGCCUGGGAGAAGGGACUCCAGUCUCCCAAGUUCAGGGAUCAUUACUCCUGACUCACAUUGUUCUUGCUUCAGCUUUUCCUGUUUCUCAAUAAAUGGUAGCUGUUUUUAAUGCUG